UGCUUCUUUCAAGCCUCCUUCAUACAUUUUAAGUUACAAAAAGUAAAGAAAAAUGACACCUGUCCAAUUUUCUGCUUACAUCUUGAGAACAGUUCUGUAAGCAAGACAACUCUGGAAGUAUCUCAAUGUCUUUUUAAUCUUCUGCAAGUUUAAUUUAGUUUGCUUGAUGUAAAUGAACAAUUAAUUUGAAAAUGAAAAGCAUGAAGACGGGGGGGCAAUAAUUCAAGAGGUAGAAGAAGUAGAUGAGACAGAAGUAGAUUAGACAAAAUUUAAUGUGUUCAGCUUCACUUGUGCCGAUGUAAAAGGUGGCAUCUGUUUAUGGUUAAAGAGGAGCUAUCAUGUGGAAGCAGAGCAAGAACUAGAGAUCAGGGCUCACUCAUCUAUUGCAUAGUAGCCAGAUUUCUUCAUUAUAUUUAAUAAUGGCACAUUAAGCCCUUGGAUCUGUGAAGGGUCCCAAGAAAGAUGGCAAUGGCAAUUUUAAACCCAAAUUUUAGGCCUGUGGUUGUUCUUGCUGCAGAGCUUUCCUUUAGGAGACCUUGUCAGCUAGAACCAGUGUCUGUGUUAUGAAGUGACCCACAUUUCGGUGCUAAGCAGCCAUGCUUGGAUGCUGGGUGCAGGGGCCUGCUUCAGAUUCUUUAGAUGUGAAUGAUUUCUGAACAAUGCUCAUCCUGGUCCCCAAGAAAACAUAUCAGCAGCCAAAGAUAACUGGAGUGGAAUCUGGCUAAACUCAUCAUCUUCCACAUUGGUCCCCUUCCUCCUCCGAGCCUCACCCUGUCCCAGGGGUCUGCAAGGGUGUGUGUGGCAGGCAGCCAUCACCCAGGAAUCUCCCCUGUGCCUGGCAGAUUAAGACUGGGAGGGAUCUUUCCUGUUUUCUGGCCCUUUUCAGGACUGACAAAAGGAAGCCAGACAUAGCCUGGAACUUAUGCCAAAGUCUUCCAAGUCUUUGUUAACUGGCAGGAUAAUGGAUAUUGGCCAGUGGUGUCUGGGUGUAAAAGAAAAAGGAAAUCAGAUGGAGUCUCAAGAGUCUAACAGGAACUGCAGAUGGUUGGGGAUGAAUGUCCUGAAUUCUUUUUUUUUGGUAUAUUAAAUUUUAAUAAACGAUGUAACAAAGAGCAAUCCACAGCCACAUAGUUUAUGCUCAUGUCACCAGAACAGAAGCAUACACUCAUUUCUGCUCCCCACACAAGUGCUGUUAGUGGUUGCUUUGCUGUGUUAUUCCACCUUCAUACCCGACUUUGUUAUCCUGGCUGUAAGGAUGUACUGUUACCGGUGUAUCAGCUUGAUUAUCUCUACCUGUCCCUUCUUAAGACAUUGACCAUUUUCAGCCACAUCUGAUAGAAUGAGAGAAAUCUCGAAGUCAGGAAAUUCCUAAAAAAAUCAUUACUAUAGGUAGCCAUGUCUGUAUAGAGAAUAAGGUAGGAAGACCCUUCGAAGACAACAGAAAAUCUAUACUUAAGACACAAGUCUGUUGGAAACUGGGCUUCAACAGCACUUAGCAAAAAAUUAUUAUCUAAUACUACUAGGUUUUUCUGGAAUUGGCAACUGAAUUAUUUAGUAAUGAAAACUGCAUGUGUAUCUCUGGCUUCUGUGGGUUCAUGGUAUAGAAAACCGUAGGAGCAUCUGUAGGGAUCACAGCUGCCCAACUUUGUGUCAUGGUCCCUGUGUCUUAACAGGACAUAGAAAUUCCCAUUUAGCUGAGUAGAGAAGAAGACAUGGAGUGGCAAGUUUUAGCUUUUAUUGCUAAUACUUUGUAAAAUAACCUUUAUGGUCUGAAGAUUCAGACCUGUGCAGAUCUGUGUGACCUAAGAUUUAUUACACCACUACCAUAUUUGUACAUCUCACUCCAGUUCCUGGAUAUGAAAGAAAUGAAAGGUCCAAAAGUUCAGCUUUAUGUUAAUAGAUCCAGAUAUACCCAAUAUUUAACUUCCCUGGACAGAGGAACUGCAUCAAAGGCUGGCUUGUCCUGUUAUGUUGUGAAGGUGUCAGCACUGUGUGCUGCAAAGCUUCACAUAACCUUGGGGAAAAAAUAGAAAAAAAAGCCAAGUGUAUGCUCAAUGGAAAACAGAUGGAGUUUUCAUUAGAUAUUACUUUUAAUGAUCUGCUUUAAAAAUAAAGAUACACCAUUCUGAGCAGAAGAAGGCCUCCUAAUAGUUUUGUUUAGGUCCCAGGCUCAUUAUCUUAGCUACAGAUAAGCGAGACUGCAAGAUCUUUGUAUCGUUAGGAGUUCCAGUCAAACUUGCCUACCAUUAUUACAAUUCCAAACACAGCAAAACAAUUUUGGAGCCUUAACAAUAUUUUUCCCUAAGAUGUAUCUUUAUUUAAUGAUUUAGAGUUAUUAUUAUGGGCCUGGCAGUUGGUUGCUCAGUUUCUGUAGUAUUACCAUUUAAGCUAGAUCAGAAUAAAAAUCCAGGAAUAUUCAUUGCAGGGCAGACCUUUUGCUUCUUUGAGGGCCUGGUCUUCAGUCAGCUUUGGUGUGACUCCUCCACAUGGUCUUAGUGGCUGUGAGGGGUGACCCCAGCAGUCUAGAAAGCCUAAAGAUCCUUCCUAAAAAGAUGAACCCUGCAAUGUGUGCCUGUAGGUAUUAAAUCAACUUUUGACAAGUAAAGAACAAUGCAGUCCCAGGGUUUUAGGAAUAGAUGGUUGCUGCCAAACCACAAUAAAUGCUUUUGUCUGGAACUCAUGGAACAGUAACAUAGCAAUGGAGGGUGUACCCUUGUCUGUUCUUCCCUCUGAGCAAAUUCUCAGAGACAUGUUACCAGGAUUCAGAUAGAUUUCAUGGAACUAGUAGAGAAAUAGGCUUUCAUUUCCUUACAAAGGGAGGAAGACACAAUGGAACUCAGCAAAACAUAUGGCAUUUUUUUUGUUCCUGUCUGAGAGUUAUGCAAGCAAAACCCAUUGCCAUCCUCAGGCAGUACUCUCUAAAGUGAGACUCGUGAGAAGAUUUACGUUACGUUUCUUUUGUUAUGAGGUGACAAAAGUGCUUUACUUCCUCUGCAUAUGUAUAAAUACAACCCGUGUCUUCAACUCAUCUCCAGAUGGAGAGCAUGAAUCAGAAUCCAAGCUUCUCAAAGUUCAAGGAAGUUUGGAGCUGAUGUUCUAGUUCACUGUUACCUCUGUAGAAAAUACCCACAUAAUUUAAAAAUACCUUCAUGAAUAAAAAAGAAAUAAGCCUCUUGUUUUCAUAAAAGAAGAACUAGAAGAAUCCAGUCCAUUGACACUCUAUCACAAACUGUUAAUUAAGCACCAUUCUGAAACCAAGUAGCUUUUUCCCAACUCUGUUAGAAAACUUUGAUUUUCAGGGUAGAGUUAUUAAUGACUAGUUUGUUCACAUAUAUUAUUGUGCCAAAACUAUCUUUUAGUUUAGAUUAUACACAAAUAGAGCGCGAGCCUGAAUAUUAGGUUUCUCCUGCUUUUGUCUCUUUCGGGGUAAAAAAAAAAAAAAAAAAGAGAGCUUGAAUAUAAGGUCACCUUGUAUUCAAGAUCAAAUUAUUUCCUCCUGCAAUUCAAGGGUGGGGGGAUGGGGCGAGAAUAAGCAAAAGGAGCAGAUGAUAAGAGAGUAUUUUAUAUUUAGGUUUGUAUAACUUAGAAUGGUCCAGCCUUUUAGCAACAGCAUCCCUGCUCUGAUUUCUCCUGUUAGAGCCAAGUAAAUACUUGUUUCUUUUUUUGUGAUACAUUUGCAGAAAUAAAGCACGUGCCCUCUCUCCUGAUGUUGCUAGAGUGAAAAAACCAAACACUUCUGAUACAAUUGUUUCUUUCUUCUUCAGCAAUUCAGGUGGCCUUGUUCUGAUUCAGUGUAGCUUUCUGAGCAUGGGUGACCAAACCUGUACACCGUUUGUUCAAAGCCAGUUCCAUCAGGCGAGAGGCUUCCAGAUACUAUUGUUUGUCAAGAGGACUGAUUUUCUGAGGUGAAUUCUCAGCAAAUUCUAAGCAGGUGCCUUUACAAGAUAUCUAGUUAUAUAAACCUCAGUCAAUCAAGGGGGAAUCUUGUCCUAAUAACAUCGGAUGGGUCAAUGCAAAAAUGUACACCUGAACUGACAACAGGCCUGCUUCGUACAUGUGAAUUAACCCUCUGAACUGCUGGGAGUAGGAGCUCAUGGUAUCUUUUAUUCACAAGUGUGAUAGUGUCUGUGUGUGCAUGAAGAGUGCUGACUAAAGCUAUGUGUGUUAAAGUGUUUCUAGAAUCUCGAGAAAGGCAACUUCUCAAGAAUGUAAGUUGAUCUUUUGGUCAAUCUUCGGUGCACCACUGAAGUAUUCCACCAGUGAAGACUUCUGGAGAAGUGCCAGUUGGCAUAUCCUGGAGUCUUUGGAUUCUGCACCGUAUUUGAAUUAAUAUUUAAAAUGUUCCAAGCUCCUGAUUCCUGCCUCAAUCCCCCAAGCCAUGACAAUGCAGGUGAUGACAGAAAAGCCACUGGAACAAAUAACCACUGAAUUCCAGUAUGGACAAGGAACCACAGAAAGGGUCAAGGAACUUGGAGGCUUCCAAUUUGUGCACAGUUGAUGCAACGCACGGGCCUGGGGGUACAUGGCUGCUGACCUAGAAGGGGACAUGAACUGCUCACCCUGAGGGACUGGGGAUACAGGAUACAGAGAAGGCUACAUUUGUUUGGAGGAAUUGACAGACUUCACUGGUUCUCUGCCUUCCCUUUCACUUCUUGGAAAUGUCACCCCAAAAGCCUUUCCAAACUUCCAAGCACAGCGGUAAGGUCCUUAGUGGGGAAGCAUAAAGUAGAGUGCUUUUGCUGCAAAUUUCCUAUUACCUUCUGCUUGUAGAUUGUUCCUACUCCUAGUUAAACCUGUGGCUUGCCAACUGACUUCCGAGUAACCACAAGGCUGAUUGCCUCAUGUUCCCAGUUUCCUUUACACUUGUCUGGGCUGUUCUUUGCUCUCACAAGCAGAAGUAUGGACGGAGCCAUAGAACAGUCACUUACUAAGCAUAUCGCUUCAAGCAAACAAAUAGGACUGUGCCCCCCAGUCUGAGUAACGCCGUGACAUGGCGUUGUUUGAAGCUCUGCAGUCUUCCUGAUAGCACAGGAAAGGCUCACUGUAGAGGCCAGAGACAGAGACGUGUGUUCAUCUGGCAUUCUCCUACCCCUCUUCUAACUGGGUGUCUCUGUUCACCUGUUUCAUAAAUCAUUAAUAAUGAUACUUCUGAAUAAAUACUUUCUCUGUA